AUGUCUAAAGUCUAGUGUUAGAUCUAGAUAUCCAAUUAAAGAUAAAUAAUCGCAUAAACUAUGCUUUUCACGCUGGCAUAUUUGUAAACAACUUACGUUCUUGAAACUGACGAGAUCGAUGCCCAGUUUUAACUAUAUUUUUUAAUUAAACAUACUCUAAAUAUGGGUUUACCCCAUUUGUUAAAAAGUUUAGUUUUUGAAUAGAGAUACAAUUAGGUAAUUUGUCUUGUUUUAGGGCGCUCUGGCAGUUGUAUGG